GGAGCGAAACGGUCGCUGGGCUGCGCUUGGGUCCGUCGCUGCCUCGCUGUCCCUAUCGGGCUUCCCAGCAGCGGCCUAGCGGAAAAGUGAAAGAUGUCUGAAUAUAUUCGGGUAACCGAAGAUGAGAACGAUGAGCCCAUUGAAAUACCAUCGGAAGAUGAUGGGACCGUGCUGCUGUCCACGGUUACAGCCCAGUUUCCAGGGGCUUGUGGGCUUCACUACAGGAAUCCAGUGUCUCAAUGUAUGAGAGGUGUCCGGCUGGUGUGGAAGGAAUUCUGCAUGCCCCCGAUGCUGGCUGGGGAAAUCUGGUGUAUGUUGUCAACUAUCCCAAAGAUAACAAAAGAAAAAUGGAUGAGACAGAUGCUUCAUCAGCAGUGAAAGUGAAAAGAGCAGUCCAGAAAACAUCUGAUUUAAUAGUGUUGGGUCUCCCAUGGAAAACAACUGAACAGGACUGAAAGACUAUUUUAGUACCUUUGGAGAAGUUCUUACGGUGCAGGUCAAGAAAGAUCUUAAGACUGGUCAUUCAAAGGGGUUUGGAUUUGUUCGUUUUACGGAAUAAGAAACACAGGUGAAAGAAUGUCACAGCGGCAUAUGAUAGAUGGACGGUGGUGUGACUGUAAACUUCCUAAUUCUAAGCAAAGUGCAGAUGAGCCUUUGAGAAGCAGAAAAGUGUUUGUGGGGCACUGUACAGAGGACAUGACUGAGGAUGAGCUGCGGCAGUUCUCCCAGUACGGGGAGGUGAUGGAUGUCUUCAUCCCCAAGCCGUUCAGGGCCUUUGCCUUUGUUACAUUUGCAGAUGAUCAGAUUGCGCAAUCUCUUUGUGGAGAGGACUUGAUCAUUAAAGGAAUCAGCGUUCAUAUAUCCAAUGCCGACCCUAAGCACAAUAGCAAUAGACAGAAAGAAGUGGAAGAUUUGGUGGUAAUCCAGGUGGCUUUGGGAAUCAGGGUGGAUUUGGUAAUAGUAGAGGGAGUGGAGCUGGUUUGGGAAACAAUCAAGGUAAUAAUAUGGGUGGGUUGAACUUUGGCGCGUUCAGCAUUAAUCCAGCCAUGAUGGCUGCAGCCCAGGCAGCGCUACAGAGCAGUUGGGGUAUGAUGGGCAUGUUAGCCAGCCAGCAGAACCAGUCAGGCCCAUCGGGUAAUAACCAAAGCCAAGGCAACAUGCAGAGGGAGCCAAACCAGGCCUUCGGUUCUGGAAAUAACUCUUAUAGUGGUUCUAAUUCUGGUGCAGCAAUUGGUUGGGGAUCAGCAUCAAAUGCAGGGUCGGGCAGUGGUUUUAAUGGAGGCUUUGGCUCGAGCAUGGAUUCUAAGUCUUCUGGCUGGGGAAUGCAGACAGUUUGUGGUUGGUUGGUAUAGAAUGGUGGGAAUUCAGAUUUUUCUAAACUCAUGGUAAGUAUAUUGUAAAAUACAUAUGUACUAAGAAUUUUCAAAAUUGGUUUGUUCAGUGUGGAGUAUAUUCAGCAGUAUUUUUGACAUUUUUCUUUAGAAAAAGGACGAGCUAAAGGAAUUUUCUAAGUUUUGUUACAUGAAAGGUUGAAAUAUUGAGUGGUUGAAAGUGAACUGCUGUUUGCCUGAUUGGUAAACCAACACACUACAAUUGAUAUCAAAAGGUUUCUCCUGUAAUAUUUUAUCCCUGGACUUGUCAAGUGAAUUAUUUGCAUGUUCAAAAUGGAAACCAUUGAUUAGAACUACAUUCGUUACUCCUUGUUUUAAUUUGAACCCCACCAUAUGGAUUUUUUUCCUUAAGAAAAUCUCCUUUUGGGAGCUCAUGGUGUCACAGUGUUUGGUUAUUUUGCUUUGUUUUUUAACACUUGUCUCCCCUCAUAUGCAGAAGUACACUAUGAAGCCUUCAUUUAAUCUCUGCAGUUCAUCUCAUUUCAAAUGUUUAUGGAAGAAGCACUUCUUUGAAAGCAGUGCUGUAAAUAUUCUGCCAUAGGAAUACUUCUGUCUACAUGCUUUCUCGUUCAAGAAUUCGUCAUCACGCAUCACAGGCUGCAUCUUUGACGGUGGGUGUCCCAUUUUUAUCCGCUACUCUUUAUUUCAUGGAGCCAUAUCAACGCUAUGAACGCAAGGCUGUGAUAUGGAACCAGAAGGCUGUUUGAACUUUUGAAACCUUGUGUGGGAUUGGUGGUGGUGCCGAGGCAUGAAAGGCUAGUAUGAGCGAGAAAAGGAGAGAGCGCGUGCAGAGACUUGGUGGUGCAUAAUGGAUAUUUUUUAACUUGGCGAGAUGUGUCUCUCAAUCCUGUGGCUUUGGUGAGAGAGUGUGCAGAGAGCAAUGAUAGCAAAUAACGUACGAAUGUUUUUUGCAUUCAAAGGACAUCCACAUCUGUUGGAAGACUUUAAGUGAGUUUUUGUUCUUAGAUAACCCACAUUAGUUGAAUGUGUUAAGUGAAACGAUACUUGUACUCCCCCUACCCUUUGUCAACUGCUGUGAAUGCUGUAUGGUGUGUGUUCUCUUCUGUUACUGAUAUGUAAGUGUGGUCAUGUGAACGGAAGCUGAUGGGCUGAGAACAUGGACUGAGCUUGUGGUGUGCUUUGCAGGAGUACUUGGAAGCAGAGUUCACCAGUGAGCUCAGGUGUCUCAAAGAAGGGUGGAAGUUCUAAUGUCUGUUAGCUACCCAUAAGAAUGCUGUUUGCUGCAGUUCUGUGUCCUGUGCUUGGAUGCUUUUUAUAAGAGUUGUCAAUGUUGGAAAUUCUUAAAUAAAACUGAUUUAAAU